rnacentral:lncRNA from 1 species
CUGUGACUCACCUAAGUGUCUGCCUUUUUUGUGCAUCUCUCAAAUAAUUAUAUAAUUGUACAAAUUAGGAGUAUUUGGAGUAUACUGAGACUGUUGUACCCAUUUGUGUUGGUCUGUCUAUUGUACUGCAUAACUAUAUCACAUAUCAAGCCAACUAACUUCACAUUAACCCGUUAAGGACCAAACUUCUGGAAUAAAAGGGAAUCAUGACAUGUCACACAUGGCAUGUGUCCUUAAGGGGUUAAGACUUAUAUGUUCCAGGAUCAACUGUUAUUCUGGGGUCAAGAAUGAUUUUUUUCCUAGUUUUUUGCAAAUUAAAAAUGUUUCAAACUGUGUUUUUUGUCUUCUUUUGGAUAAACAGCAAAAACAAAUGUGAGAAAUGCUGAACUUGAUGGACACAUAUCUCUUUUCAGCUAUGUAACUAUGUAACCUCCUAUGUAUUAGCACAAAGUCUCAUAAUCUGACCAGUGGAUCUAAUUUUAUAUGUAGUAAUAAAAAGUAUCCACAAGAGGGCAGAGGCUGUUCAUGUUUUUAUUUAUUUUCCACAAUAACAUUUGUAUUCCACUCUAUUACCCUGUGUGUGCACCAUUUCAAAGCAGCCGUAUCUAACACAUUACAAAUGUAUGCAUUUCUUACAUUUCUGCAGACUGUAAUGUGACUAGCAAUCAUGUCUUUUAUUAGCGGAAAAUAACUUAAUUUUCUUUCCAGAAGAAUAAAUAUUGGACGUAAAAUAUCAGAAGUUAUAUAUAACAGCACAAACUAAAACUGGCUGUUUUUUAAAUCCCAUACAUUUUCCAUUCAUUCUGCAUUUAAAUGAAAUGACAAAAAAAACAAAACAAAACAAAAACCAUGAAUAAUUUUAGACAAAAUACCCUCAGACUAAAUGCUUCUAGUUCAUUUAACAGAAAAUUGUUUAUUAAACAUUAACCGAAAUAGUAGUGAGCUACAGACUAAGGACAUAUUUCAGAAAAAUAUAUAAUAUAUAUUUUAAUUAGCCUUAUACAAUCCAUUAUAACCUUAGUAAUCUAUUUAUACUAAACUAUUUUACUGCUAUAACACAAACCCUAAUAUAAAUACCACUUUUUAUUUCUAUAUUAGUUCAUUUCAAUUUGGUGUUUAUUUAUUUAUUUUGAUGUUUUUAUCUAAAGUUCAGAAUGCUGAUACAUUCACCAUGAGGACUAUCAUUUUAUGUCUCCUGGUAAUUUCGAGUCGUAAUACUAUUUUAGUAAGCAUUAAAACCUUAACCCAGGCUUCCUCAAACUCUGGCCCUCCAGAUGUUGCUGAACUACAACUCCCGUGAUUCUAUGAAUGAAAGAGAUAGGCUGAGAAUCAUGGGAGUUGAAGUUCAGAAACAUCUGGAGGGUCGGAGUUUGGGGAAGCCUGUCUUAACCUAUCACUAACUCAAGCCCUCAACUGAAAUCUUAAAUUUCAGAGAUGAAUUAAAUCGUAAUGGGGUCUUAUGUGGGUACUGGUAUAUGACCCCUCCAUGUUACAAACCCUCAGACACAAACAAAGAUCUAAACACUUAUCCUGUAUAGACUGAUCUGUGUGGAAUGCAUACAAAGAUAAUUCACUAAACAGGAAAUUAAGGUGAACUGAUAGCAGAAUUGGAUUUAUUUUAAUGAAAAUUAGGUGUAUAGGACAUACUUUCAGGUACUAUUCUGGCCCAUAUUGUGCUAUUUGCUUAUUUCACUGUUCAGUAAUGAGUAAAUCCCUAAUCCUAUACUAUGAUCUAUAUACUAAUCACAUACAUUACUCUGUUCAUUCAUAGAUCCUUAAUUCCUUGUGUCUGCUUCCCCAGAAAGAUUGUCAAAAUCAAUAAUACAUUGAAAAUGAAAUGUUACACACACAGACACAUACAGGCAUACCCCGCUUUACAUACACUCACUUCUAAUACACUCGCGAGAACAGACAUUCCCGUGCCUCUUCUGUCCAUGAGUGAACAGUAAAUGGAAGGUUCUAUUCUCGCCCGGAGCAGCUCAGUUUAGUGUCUUUGGGGCAAGAACUUUUCGCACCUUCUGACAUGGCACAGGUUAAUAAUCUCAAAUGUAUAAUGCCUACUCCUAGCUGAACAUAUAUAUAUAUAUAUUUUUUUUUUCUGCCCCUACAUUGUCCAUAUUCUGCAAUCGGCUGCCAUCCAGUGAAAGGGUUUACCCUGCCAGUUUCUAUAACUAUGACUUACCAGCUUAGCUGCAUUAGCCACAACUCUGAGGAUUCAAAGUUAAACCAUAUAUGCUUAAAGUGAUGAAGAGGUGUUUCUAAACAAAGUGUGCAACUAAGCUGCUAACAAAUACAAAUUGGCACUGUAUUGACAGAAAAUGGCCCAGUGGGCAGGUUUAUUUUACUUUUCCUCUCAGUUUAAGGUUGUCAGAUGAGUAAAAUAUUAAAGAUAAAUGGUGCAAUCUGGAAUGAGAUUUUUCUUUUUACUGUUUGUUUUAACUGAAUAAAAGCUCACUGGAAAUCGCUAAAUAAAUCACUGGGAUUAAAUUCACUGCAGUUGCAAAGAUCGUAGAACCAGAAGAGCAUUUCAAGCUAAAGAUCAUCUGCCAAUUGAGAGUCAUUAGCAUUAUUUCCCCCUCUUUAGGAGAAGGUGUUAAUAACUUUCCAGAUGUAAUUCCACCUGCUUCUGCUUCUGCAAGAAAGCCUUAUUUAAUUGUUCACAGACCCUACAGAUAUUUGAGUAUACACAAAUUGAAGUUGGAAUUGUUACGGUCCAUUGGGAAGUGGCUUUUCCAGGACAAUGGAGGAUGUUUAUGGUCGUUGCCACACAUAGCAUCUGGCUUUAAGAUUUGUCUUGGAAGUAGACCAUCUUCAUUUCACCUGUCUUAUAUGUCUCAGUUUUGCUCCAUGGUUCUUCUGCAAAGUUCUGGUGGGCUUUUAGCAGAAUUAUGGAAAUUUCGGAUGACAUCAUUAUCCUUGCAGACAGCAAGAGCUCUCUAUUAACUAUGGACUACUUUAUAUUUGGUCCUUCUUCUUCAUGGUCGAAAGAGUUAUACUUCUUUAGUCAUUUUGUGCUCUCCUCCAAGUCCAUGUCAAAUAUAGGAACACUUUUCAGCACUGAACAUGGUACAGUUAGACUUUCUCAGUACCGAAGGAAAAAACAUUUUUAAGGGCAGAGAGUGUUGAUUGUAUGAUUUAUUUUUGCACUGAGAAAGAUUAAUUGGUCUGUUUUCUUUAUAAAUGCCAGCCAUAGGGGUUAGGGAUCAUUUCUUCAGAUCUACUGUGCACAAGUAAUAUGUAUUUUUCUUGCUAAAUCUCAGUUCAAUUACCUAGAUCUACUAACCGUCUUGAAAGCCCUGAAGCAUUCUCAGCAUAAACUUUUUACUCUGGGUGAAGAUAUGUGUGAUCCAUGCUGCAGUUUUUUUUGUAUUCUAUGAUCUACGGCAGGCUUCCUCAAACUCUGGCCCUCCAGAUGUUGCUGAACUACAACUCCCAUGAUUCUAUAAAUGAAAUAGGCUGAGAAUAAUGGGACCUGUAGUUCAGCAACAUCUGGAGGAGUUUAGGGAAGCCUGAUCUAGGGGAUAUUUGGAUUCACAAUAUGAUGAGAAUCAUGAAACCUCUGAUGUCAGAUGAAGCCUUCCAGUAGACAGUGGUAAAUAGGACAUCCCUCAAGUGGAUCUAUGGCAACUCACAGCAACAAGUAUCUCAACAAGUUUUUCUCAGGAAUUUUGACAAUCAGGCUUUUAGUGCAGACAUGCACUUUCAUCCCUAUGAUGAUUCAUCCUUGACUAUGCAUUUCCACCUUUCUUCUCCUGUUUUCUCUCUUGGAAUCCCGAAUAAAUGUGCCCGUCAUCCUAAAAUCCCAUACUGGCCUCACGGACCAUGGGUUCCCCUUCUAAUAAAUCUAGGUAUGGAAUUAAAUAGGAUCUCCAGUAAUUUCAGCAAGAACCAGUUGUUUUUCCAGACCUGCUUUCUACCAUCUUUGCUUAGUUUUGCCUCAAGGUGGUUUUCCAUUUUUCAAAAACUUGUGUUUUUUCUAAUGAAGAAAGCAAAGUAAUUGGAUGUUCUAAUUUUGCCUUGGUGAUAUGUUUUGGUUCUACUUUGAUAAAUCUUUUCUUAUUAUACUAUGUCAUAAAGUCUGCAUGUUAUCCCUAUUGGGGAUGUUAUCCCAAAUAGGGAAAGGCAGGCCUCCAGUAUCUAACUAAGCUAUCAGUAGAUGUAUUGUCAAGCUAACCAGGUUUCAGUUUUGGUUCCUGAAGGGCUAAUCGCUAAUUUUCCAGGUUAAUUUUUUUUUCUCAAGGGGUUCCCUAGUACUGAUAUAUAGAGCAGCUUCUUGAGCCUUUGUUACUAGUAUCUAGUAUCUAGUAUUAACAAAAUUCUUUGAAAACUAGAGAUAUGGUCUUGUGUAGUCUAUGCCCCAUAGACAGCAAGUAAAUGGUGUUCUCACCAGGUUGUUUCAAAAUGGUUUAAGGUGCAAAUUAGAAAAGUGUAGCCUUAAACAAGAUUUAUUUCUUUUUUAUGAGGAUACCCCCUACCACACCUAUAAUUCGAAGAAUUACCUCUGAACUUGAUCCAUAGGCGGGGAAUACACCGCCCAGGCUCUAGGAAAGUGUGAGUUCACAUCUUUUAUCUUACCUUUCACCACUACAGUUUUAAAUACUACACUAUUAUUUCUUCUCUUUUUCUCUCCACAUAUACCAUGUCAAGGAUUACUGAAGCGCUGCACCUGCCCCCCUGUUUGUAUCCAGUUUUCUGAUCGGAAAAGAGAGACUCUGUAUUGGUGUUCAAGCUGCUUUUGGACUACUAUCAUUUCGCUUCCGUGCUGAAUUUAUUUUUGUGUGAUUGUGCCUACAGAAAUUGUCUAUGACAGUGGGAGCCAAUUUGUGUUUCAGUUUUGGAGGAUAUUUUGUGAAGAGUUGAGCAACAGCUUUAAUUCUUUUCUGCCUACCACCCACAGUACAAUGGUGCAGAUGAAAUAUCUAAUCAACUCUAGAACAGUACCUCCUUCCACAUACUCAGGACAAUUGGGCUGACCUGUUGCAUUUGUCUGAGUUUGCCUGAAAUAAUGCCAGUUUUGACUCCUUCGGUCACAGUAAUUAAUUCAUUAAUGGUUACUUAUGGAUAUGAAAGUUUUACAUAAAAUCUAUAAUAUAAUUAAUUUAUAACUUCAAAAACCCUUGUCUUAAAUGUGUUUAGUAGAAAAUUCCCUUAUUUGUUAUCCUUAUGUGGAAUUGUCAUAUUUAAGGAUACCAGCUUAGGUAGCGAUCUAAUAAACACAUACACAUGUAUAUUUAUACACACAUUACCACACAUAUAUAUAUACACACACACACACACACACAAUCACAUACCUAUACACACAAUCAAAAAUAUACACACACACAAUCACAGACCCACACAAACACAUAUAAUCACAGACCAAUACACACAGUCACACACAAUCACAAAUGUACACACACAAUCACAGACCCACACAUUCACAUACAAUCACAGACCUAUACACACACACACACACACAAUCACAGACAUAUACACACACAUAAUCACAGAUGUACACACAGAGACAUACACACACACACACACAGACCCACACACUAUAUCACAAUAUCAGACACACGCAUAAUCACAGGCACACACACACAAACACACAUACAUACACAAUCACAGACCUUUACACACAAUCAGAAACAUAUACACACAUAAUCUCAGAAACACACACAUACAAUCACAGACCUAUACACACAGUCACAUACAUAGACAUAGAAUCACAGACACACAUACAAUUACAGAUCUAUACACACAAUCACAGACCCACACACACACAUACAAUUACAUACAUACACAAUCAUAGACACACAUACAAUCAUAGACACACAUACAAUCACAGACCUAUACACACAGUCACAUAAACACACACAUACACAAUCAGAUAUGUACACACACAAUCACUAACCAACAUACAUACAAUCACAGAACUAUACACACAGUCAUAUACAUAAACACACACACAUAAUAACAGAUUUACACACAAUCACUGAUACACACACAUACAAUCACAGACCUAUACACAGUCACAGACAUACACACACACAAACAAACACAAAUAUACACAUACACAAUGACGGACAUAUACACAGACAAUCACAUACAUACACACACACACACACACAAUCACAGACCCACACACACAUACAAUUAUAGACCUAUACACACAGUCACAUACACACACACAUUUAGACCCACACAAACAAUAAAAGACACACACACCUAUAAACACAAUCACAUAUAUACACACAGAACCACUGAAUUACACGCACACAAUCACAGACAUAAACCCUCCCUCCACACACAAUAAAAAUCCCAUAUACACACACAUUUAGUACUAAAGGGGUCCACCCAGCCUCCCAACCUUGCUCCGGGAGGGCUGGAAUGGAUCCUUUGUCCCUGGUAGCCAGUGGUUGCUGCUGGGCUGGGACCUCUGUGCUCUUCGUGCGCCCAGCAUUGAUGCUGAUGCCGGUAUGACGUCAUAUCCUGGUGGCCAGCUCACUGCAGGGCAUACGAGGGAGCUGUGCAUGAGGAGCACAAACUGUAAAGGGCUCUCUGCCUCCCCCUUUAUCUCUAACUGUGUAUAUUUUUACCUCGGAACCACACCUAGGAAGUAAUGUUUAGCUACCCACAGGGGACUCCCCCAUUAGGCAACAUUAAUCUGUAUAAACACAGGCACGUUGCUCUGAGGCUUGACUAUUUUCAAUGGAUACAGUGUAUCUUCUAGUAUCCACGCUCUUUAUUUUAUGUUGCUGGCUACAUUGACUCCUUUACAAAGAAGCUACUGACAACAGUCACCUUAAUUCUAUUGUGGCCAACACAUAUAUUGCGUGACUACUGCAUAUAUUGCAGAUUUAUGGAUGUACCUUUUUAUAUUCAUUGUAUAUAGUUUUGUUCAUAUCACUGUAUAUAACUUCUACACUGGCCAUCUGGCUAAAAUUGAGUUUAUGUUCAAUUUUCCCUUCUCCCUAAGUGGGACCAAUAAAGAUUUACUUUUAAAUUUGAUCCACUAUGUAACGGCACCCCCAGGCAUAAAAAGG